rnacentral:rRNA from 1 species
UACGAAGGGGGCUAGCGUUGCUCGGAAUUACUGGGCGUAAAGGGCGCGUAGGCGGAUAUUUAAGUUAGAGGUGAAAGCCCCAGGGCUCAACCCUGGAAUAGCCUUUAAUACUGGAUAUCUUGAGUUCGGGAGAGGAGAGUGGAAUUCCCAGUGUAGAGGUGAAAUGCGCAGAUAUCGGGAAGAACACCCGUGGCGAAGGCGGCGUCUACUGGGGCACGGU